rnacentral:lncRNA from 1 species
AGUCCUGUCAGCACUGCAAAUAGCCAGAGCUGGAAUGCCAUAUAUGCAAUACGCCAACCGGCAGCUUCUGAAAUUAAGUCUGGGGGUUAAAAGAAUAAAAGUGAAUAGGGCCCCCGGUUGGGUUUUAUUUCAGCAACACAAAUAUGGUUCCAACGUUUGUGGCUUGGUCUCCAUGCGCUGUGCUGUUUGAAUUCAAGCGGCGCCAACAAAAAGCGAAGAUUCCCAGGUCAAACCUUGGACCAAGGACAGCAUACGAAGACCAACAAUGCCAAAUUGCCAAAAAGAGAGACACUCAGUGCAAAUUUAUCACCAUGGAGUUGUUUGACUUGAGCUUGCUUCAGUGAGAGAAGUGACGGAUGAUUACCCAUAAUUUCGGACAUCUUUAGUCUAUAUUAGGAAGACAAUGGUAGUAUUUGAUGGUGGAAAGCUUAUGAUUUAUUUCCAUAGUGAAUCAUCAGGCCUAGGGGUCAAAGGAUGCUAUGUUGCAGUCUGAUCAUUUCUCCUCUACUUAAAAUGGUUGUUGAUUGCAAUAAGUUAACUGCCACUUCGUUUUGAUGAACAAAGCUUCGAUUAUUGACUGCCCAGCAAAA